rnacentral:snRNA from 1 species
GGGCUCGCUUCGGCAGCACAUAUACUAAAAUUGGAACGAUACAGAGAAGAUUAGCAUGGUCUCUGCGCAAGGAUGACACGCAAAUUCGUGGAGCGUUCCAUAUUAAA